GGCGCCAGGAGGCUGCUGUGGGCGCCAUUUCCCUCCCUCGGCGGGGAGACGGGGGCGGCGCGGCGGCCCCUCACAGAGCCGUGGGCGGUUGCACAGGACCAGAAGUUAUGUAAAACAGCUGGACUGAAAUACAACAUUCUGUUCAGAAGACUGAAUGGCCUGCAGCACAACUCCCGUGUAUUCUGAUGGUUACAUUCAGACGGUGGUGACGGGGUAACUGUGAAGCAGUAUACUCCCAAAACUCUGAGAUGCUCUCCCACUUCUAGCUUGCUGCCUGAAGCCAGUUUGGGUGCGACUGUUGACACAAGCAGCAUGGAAAUCAAUCUGCCUGCCCUCCCAAGUGAACUAGCUUGGAUUAAAAAGCCUUUUAAUCAAGACCAACGCCACCGAUACAGAGGGAAAGUUAUAAAUGAGAAAGAAGAAUACUUCUUGCAGACUUUAAGAGGGGACAGAGGUCAGAAGAUUUGUGAAACUGCAUAAGAGGAAGAAAAUCCAAAACACAACAACAAGAUGCAAAACGUAAGGGUGUUAGCAGUGCUGAAAUCCUAAGGAAUAAAAAGCUUAGAUGCUGUUUUCUAUGCUUUUAAGCUUGCGUUUGAUCAAAAUGAACACUGGCAGAGCACACAAAAACUGAUCUGCUGCUUAUUUGUGGCACUCUGGGAAAUAACUAAUGACUUAACAACUACAUUGCACAUUUUCAAUUUGCAAUCAGGGUAGACUGUUUCUGGACAUGCUACCACCUUCUUCCAGGAGACAGGACAGAGUGAUGAAAUAAAUUAUAGUUUCUGACCAAAGUAUUUUAAAAUGACAAUAGGGAAGAUAUAAGAGGAAAAAAACAACACUUCUUGAUUACUUCAGAACACAAUUAUUUCCUGUAUCCAGUCUACAAUGUUUUCCUCACUCACCUUUGUAUGAAUUCCUUCCUCAUACUUUUCUAUGUCAUCUCUAUCCUAAGCCCCAUGAGCCUCCCGCAGAUCUUACACAAUAGUGUCCCAUAGGAAAAGAGCAGCUUUUAUCAAUGAGAGAAAGGCAUAUAAUUAGCUCUAGGGGUUUCUCAUGAACUCACACACAGCCUGCCUUCUCUGAUUGCUUCCUUCAAGUAAUCCUCUAGUCACUCCCACUAGAAUACACCAUGGUGAUUCCACAGCAGCUCCUGCUUCCUGAUACCACCAGCAGUUCCAACAAACGAAUGAAUCAACUUCCUGCUUCCCUUAUGUCACCAGUCUCACAAUUGCAAUUCUUUCCUCUGUUGCCACCUCAUCAGCCAUCCUCCCCCUACCACCAUCAUCUACAGCUCCUCUUCCAAACCAAGCAACCUGCUUAAACAUCCAACUCAAUGCAGUAUUUUUCCUCUCUCCCAAUUUCUUGCCAGUUAUUUACUUCCCUAAUCUCCUUGACUUCUCAACUUACUGACAAAUUUUGACUUUUUCCUCUGGAUGGCACUUACAGAAGGAUUGCUAAGACUAUUAAACAGAGGAGACCACCUACCUUAAGCUGUUCUUUGUCACCAUAAUGGAAUCUAUCCUACUCCCCACAGAUCCUAGAGGCUUUCCAAGGGGGAAACAGGAAAGGAUUAACAUUUGACUGUUCUUUUAGGUACACUGAAGCAUAGCCAAAGCAGUGUUCCAAUCUGUAAUUCAAGGGGACAUUCUGAUAGGAAGAUGACACGGUGUUGACGGAGUAUCCAGACAGCACACAGGUCCUCCAAGUAAUUCAGUAAGGGGAACCUGUCACUAGACAGCAGCAAACUAGUUUCAAGUACUUUCCCCGAGAAAAGAGGACACGAAAAUUAUGCCUUUGUACCAGAAGGACCCUCUGAUCUGUGGGGCACCCUUUUUUUACGAACUUAACCUAAU